rnacentral:rRNA from 1 species
GACGUAGGGCGCGAGCGUUGUCCGGAUUUAUUGGGCGUAAAGAGCUCGUAGGCGGCUUGUCGCGUCGUUCGUGAAAGCCCACGGCUCAACUGUGGGCUUGCGGUCGAUACGGGCAGGCUGGAGUUCGGUAGGGGAGACUGGAAUUCCUGGUGUAGCGGUGAAAUGCGCAGAUAUCAGGAGGAACACCGGUGGCGAAGGCGGGUCUCUGGGCCGAUACUGACGCUGAGGAGCGAAAGCGUGGGGAGCGAACAGG